AUUGAACGCUGGCGGAAUGCUUUACACAUGCAAGUCGAACGGCAGCACGGACUUCGGUCUUGUGGCGAGUGGCGAACGGGUGUGUAACAUAUCGGAACGUAUCCAAUAAUGUGGGAUAACGAGUCGAAAGAUUCGCUAAUACCGCAUACGCCCUACGGGGGCAAGCUGGGGACGUUUGGGCCUGGCGUUAAUGGAGCGGCCGUUAUCUGAUUAGUUAGUUGGUGAGGUAAAGGCUCACCAAGGCGACGACCAGUAGCUGGUCUGAGAGGACGACCAGCCACACUGUAACUGAGACACGGUCCAGACUCCUACGGGAGGCAGCAGUGGGGAAUUUUGGACAAUGGGCGCAAGCCUGAUCCAGCCAUUCCGCGUGAGUGAAGAAGGCCUUCGGGUUGUAAAGCUCUUUCGCAAGGGAAGAAAACUUAGCCACUAACAUUGGUUGAGGUUGACGGUACCUUGAUAAGAAGCACCGGCUAACUACGUGCCAGCAGCCGCCGUAA
rnacentral:rRNA from 1 species